AGAACAAUGUACAACUCUUAUCGAUAAGCCAUUGGAGGGCAAGUCUGGUGCCAGCAGCCGCGGUAAUUCCAGCUCCAAUAGCGUAUAUUAACGUUGUUGCAGUUAAAAAGCUCGUAGUUGAAGUGUGGGUGAUCGCUGUUGUGAGACUUCGGUCUCUCGACAGUAAGUCACCCCCUUCCAGUAUCCAGUAGUGGGUAUUCAGUUACUUACUACUGUGUGUUGGUCCUUUACUGUGAGAAAAUUAGAGUGUUCAAAGCAGGCGUUUGCUUGAAUAGAUUAGCAUGGAAUAAUAAUUGAAGGCUUUCGUGUUCGAUUUGAUUGGUUUGUUCAUGGAAGCAAGGUUAAAAGGAACAGUUGGGGGUAUUCAUAU
rnacentral:rRNA from 1 species